GGUAGCUUCCCCCAGGAACUUAAACAAGGCAGGAUCACUCCAAUUUUUAAGAAAGGUGACAGAUCUUUAAUCUCCAAUUAUCGCCCUAUCUGUGUACUACCUUUCUUCAGCAAAGUAAUUGAAAAGCUUAUCGAAAAACGCUUAACUAAUUACCUUAACAAAUUCAACAUUCUCUCACCAUUCCAAUACGGCUUUCGCCCGGGUUACUCGACUGAUCUUGCUCUCGUUGCGCUAACCGAUGCGCUAAAGCUUGCUAUCGAUGAGGGUAACUACGCAGCUUCUGUAUUUGUGGACUUGACGAAAGCAUUCGAGAAAAUAAAUCAUCAUAUCUUAUUUCAUAAGCUUGAAUCGUUAGGAAUUACCGGCCCAGCAUUACUAUUACUGCAAAAUUACUUAACAGACAGAAUGCAGGUAGUAACUAUUUCAGGUGUUCAUUCUAAAACCAUGCUCACUAACACUGGCGUGCCCCAGGGUUCCAUACUGGGUCCACUCUUAUUCUUAUUAUAUGUCAAUGAUCUGCCUGUCUUUCCUCUUCGAAAUGUAUACUUUAUGCAGACGAUACUACUAUCUUCAACACAAAUAAAUGUCUUUCAACUCUAAUAUCCAACCUUAAUGACGAUUUAUACAGCCUGCUGGAGUGGUGCCAUACUAACCAGCUACAGAUAAACCCGUCAAAAACAAAAUUUGUUUUAUUCACUUCCCACCAACGAACACUUCAUUCCAUUCCUCCUAUUUUUCUUGGUGCCAGUCCUAUCCCUGCAAGUUAUUCCUGUAAUUAUCUUGGUGUAGAAGU
rnacentral:lncRNA from 1 species